AGCACAUCAUGGAGAAUGGGGUAUGUAUCUUCUCAAGCAUUUAACCUAUGAGUUACAAACAAUCCAAUUACACUCUUUAUUUUAAAAUGUACAAUUAAAUUUUAUUUUAGUAUC